AUGGUCUUGAAAAACGAAAAUGUGUUACAAAUAUACAUUUCUUAUCACAGUCACACAACUGAAGGUGUGGAAGAGAGCAUGAUAAGUUUCACAGCUAAUGGACUGACCAUCAUAGCUGAUGAGGAAUACUUGACCAUCACCACCACAGCACCCUCGCCUCCAAGCUGCAGCAAUGCUGUCUCCAAUGAACCUCCACCACCACCACCGGCCCUUUCCCCAUCACUGUUAAGCACACCUCCAUCCUACCAGCAAGCAACUCAAGCGUCAUCACCAGUGAAACCUCCUGACCAGUUUACCCUCCCCUCAGCCAGAAACAACAACGGCUGGGAUGAUGAUGAUGAAGAGGAGGAUGACGAAGAUCCCCAAAGGGACAUGUUGAAGGAGUUUGAACUGAAUGUCUCACUGACCAAAUCAUGGUGUGGCAGUUUUGGUUUUACAAUAACCAGGAGUAAACUGGACAACUGCUUUUAUGUCCAGGAGAUCCUGGAUAAUCCAGCCAAAGCAGAUGGCAGACUUAGGGCUGGAGACAGGCUUGUCAUGGUACCACUUUUCCCACCAUUAGAAACACAAUCACAGUUAUGCUUUUAUGACCAUCCCUUUCUGAAGAUUUCAUAAGAUUGUGUUGUCAGUGAUUUGAAUUGGCAUUAUCUCCUUUUAGGUAAACGGUCACAAUGUGACCAGCGUGACAGAUGAUGUGGUUAUUAGCAUCCUCAGGUCUUCCUCUAAAAGACUGCACAUGGUGCUGGGCAGAGCUGUGCAAAAUCUACUCCCUCCGCCGCCUCCCGACAGACUCCAGGACAUUGUCAUCCCCAAGACUCCAUCCGGACAACUGGGUGAGGAGAUGCUUUAUAGCAUAUAUAUAGAUAUAUAACAAAAAGAUUUCACAUUCAAUUCAAAAUGAUGAUCCUUUUGCAUCUGUUUAUGCAGGUAUCAAGCUAACAGGGGGUAUUGGCAGCAAGUGGCAGGGAAUUUAUGUCCAGGAGGUGGUGCCAAGCUCCCCUGCUAGUGAAGAGGGCAGCAUCCAGCCCAAUGACAAGAUUGUUUAUAUAUGUGGGAAGUGCACCCUGGGAAUGAUGCUGGAGGAUGCUGUGAAAGUGUGUGAGAGUGCCCCACGCAAAGUCCGAUUAAAAGCCAUGAGGUUUGAAUGGAGAAUAAUUAUGUUUAAACAUGAAUUAGUAUCAGUUUUUGCCUUAAUAAGUUUUUAUUUAAUGUUUGCUUUGUUUCAGAGAUGACCAACCAGUGAUACCAGUAGAUAAAUGGAAUGGUACGUUUGAGCCGAGUCUACUUGAAUUACAGCAAUAAUUGGUUUAUUCAUAAUUUAUACAAAAUAUAAAGGUUGAUGUUUACUGUAAUAAGAUUGUGUGUUUGCUGAUAUUAUUGAUUCUUUUGAUUAUAUGGGGUUACAUGUAGACUUUAACCUUCCCUUGGGCCAG
rnacentral:lncRNA from 1 species